UCUAAUUAUCUAUACGUACUAGGUAACAAAAGUUUCCUUGAAAAAGAAAACAGAUUUUUUAUCUAUCCUAACUAAUACACGUAUACUACAUGGAUUCUCUCCUCCACGAUCUCUCUUCUCCAUUACCUCUCUCUCCCCACGUACUACACGGUUCCUCUCUCCUCCAUGAUCUCUUCUUCUCCAUUAUCUCUCUCUCCUCAGAUGCAAAGCAAACCCAUCCACGGUCUCUUCCCCUUUUCCACUAUCUCUCUCAAUGUCCCGAUAGAAUACAAAUCCAUAUUCUCUCUUAACCUGAAGGCAUAGAUCUGAAAAAUCUAUAGCGCCUACUACGCUCUAGCCCGACGUGCGGCUGACCACCUGAUCCAGCGCGCUGGGCAGACCCGGCUAGACACACGGCGAUAGACUUCCUCAUCUAUAUCGGAUUCGUAUAGUCGUGAUUGAUUUCUUUGUGUCAUGCCGCCCUACAAAUCCUCAGGCCGCCCAACGAAUCCCCAGGCUCCGUCACCUUUGCUCGCCUCCAUCCUCACCCCCGAACAUCUGAACAGCCUUUUUGGGUACAUAUUUUGCUAUAAAGGAGUUCAGCUAUGCCAUGGUGUAUACGUGGUUGUUCAUGUGCAGCAGUGUGCAGGUCUGGAGAGGUACGUAUUGUAGUAACAAAAAUUAUCAGAUUGUGGUGCAAGAAUGCUUGGUGAGCACUGAGCAGACAUGUUGAUAAGCCAGUCACUGCCUUGUGAGGUUCACUGUUGAUGAUCAGAGACUAAUAAUCCAUAUAUGAGGACAUUUGAUUUUUCUGGUCAGGGAGUAUUCAUCGGUGGAAGACCCAUCAGUACUUGCCAGAAUAUAUAUGUACAUACCUGACUGCAACGCAUGCUUGCAUCCCGUUCCAUCUGCAGAAAAAUUGAGGGAGUAUUCAUCGGUGGAAGACCCCUCAGUACUUGCCAGAAUAUAUAUAUGUACGUACCUGACUGCAAUGCAUGCUUGCAUCCCGUUCCAUCUGCAGAAAAAUUAAGGUAAUUGAAUCAACUAGGUUUGAUAUGCAAUAUGUCCAAUACAAUGGAAUUCGUUGGCAAAAAUAAUUAAUUUCUUACUUAAGUACACAUAUGUCAGAUCAGAUCGAGGCUCAGAGCCUAGCAUAGAAUUGCAUCGGCGAUGCCGAUGGCCAUCAACAAUCCAAUAGACAUAGAUGCAUUGAGCCCAUGUCGUAGUGCCCAAAUGGCAGACCAUUGCGACUAAGUCGAAGACUUAGGUAAGCCCCAGAUGAUAAUAGCAUACAUUGUAUGUCGCUGCAUGGUAGAAUGACUCCACGAGAGAAUUUCCGUCAUGGUUGGAGACCAGAUCAUAUUAUGGCGUCCAAUAUCCACUUUAGCAGACCAAUGUGCAUGCUUUGGUUCAGCAUUCUGCAUAUAAUAAGCGACCAACAGGAGCAGCCUAUGAUGGAGUCCUAAGAAAAAUUUCAAAAACAACUGCAAGUCUAGGCUAUGUUGUGGUCUCAUUUGGGCAGAAAAACUGCUUUGAAAAUUGAGACUACUCAAGAUGGUAUAAGAUGUUUCACUUCUCAUGUUUACUAUUUUCUUUUCUACCGAGAUCUAAUUAGUGCCGUUUUCUUCUAUCAUUUUUAUAAAAUUGUAUGUACACUAUAAUACAAUUUAUAUCCUGAGAAAAUAAUAGCAUCGGAGAGCUAGCGGUUUGGGCGUAAGGGGCAUGGAGAAAACCUGGCAUUGUUCAAGGCACCGCUGCCGGACGCGUUGUUCCACAAGCCAUGUUUUCUGCUGUCCAGUACAACAGACCAGGAAAAUUAGUAGCUUCAUACAUGGAUGUUCAGGUAUGCAAUCAUCUUUUAUACACAAAUGAUCUUCAUAAUAUAAAUAUGAAUUUAGACUGCGCUAUAGCAGCACAGCUACAUGCUUCUAUAUUAUGCAUGAACUGAAGUAUGUGAUGGUUGAUCUAUGGAGGGCACACUAUACAGCAGGUACAUUUGAAAAAAUAAUACAACUUACAACUUACAUUAUCACAAUCUUUCCUGUAAAUUAAAAUCUUUGUUCCCUACCAUGGUAGUAGUAAAUAAUCCGCCAUCUAUUGUCUCAUCUCAAUAUCUCUUGCCUUGAAGCUUUAUCUAUGUGAGCUACCGGAUGACCUAUUCUAUUGCGUAGUGGCGAUUGCUACGCGUUUGGGCUGGCGUAGUCUCAUGGCCCUCAUUACAGGAUGUGUGGUAUCCUAGAAGCAGCUUCAAUCGCAGAGAAUGGGAUGCAUGCACGUGGGCAGUUUUUCGACACCUCAUGCAAAUAAAUUCAGAGCACAACCAUGCCCAUCAGGUGAGCUUACACAAAUUAAACAUCAUGUUGGUUCACAACAUCGUCGACCAUGACCAUCUGGCGAGGUUAUACAAAUUAGACACCAUGUUGGUUCACAACAUCGUAGAUGGUUCGCUGAUCUAACUAGGUGCCAAUGUUUUCUUUGGUCUGUUGUUGUCACUGUGCAUGUUAGGGAAUCAUCUUUUGUGUUCUUUUGCAGGUUCAAUUUUUUUGUAAUCCUUUAAUUUGUUAUAUCAAGUUCAACUAUUUUUCUUGGCAAUUUAAUGUUUAAAGCAAUUGCGCGUGAUAUGAUGGUCAGAUUAAUUAAGAUGUGGGAUACCAUUAACGUUAACAGUGAACUUACUUGAUGAAGAGGUCAGUUUUCUGAUUUGCCAACAUAAACAUUAUACAAUCAGUUAUAAUAGUUAUUACAAAAAUACUAGGACAUCUUCUCCCAAAAUUAUUAUUGUUUCAGGGCAUGAUACAUGAGAAGGUAAUGUAACAUAUGGUUAUCAAGUCCAGUCGCUGAUCCAAGAAGGUUCAGUCUAAGUUUACAUCUUCGCCGUAUUUCCAUCAAAUUGGAGGAGACUAUUACCAGGACACCAAAUGUCAAAAUUUAAAUGGACAGCAGGCAGACUAUAAAUCAGUUGUAAAGGGGCAAGUGCAAAACUUAUUUGUUCUGAAAACUAUAAAGCAAGAGCCGGAGGAUGAUGAACUCCACCUAAAAGGAUUAGGGGAAGGAGCACAAGUCGUGUCACAUCUAGAAGAGGAAUAAAAAAAGGAAGGUACUCAGGUGUUGAUAUAAAAUCACCGAAAUAAGAUAUAGAAUGUCCAGUGUGUCCUGGACUCGAAAAUUAGUUAUAAUUGGAACAGGUACAAGCAUUCUUAUCUAACAAAAUGUAAUAUGGUCCAGAUAUAGCACCUUUUUUUAAAUUGUUCCACCAUCCAUGCGUCACAGUUUCUCCCUCUC